GCAUAAAAGAAGAAACAAUCCACUCUUAACCCAGGCUUAAGAGAAGCCAAUCUCAGUAUUGAUUGAAACGCUCUUAAAGUUUUGAAGAACUCACCAAGCAAAUACAAGCAGACUUGCAGUUCUGAAGAUUUUCUUUAACAUUCAGUAAUAGCAAAAAAAAAAAAAAAAA